UUUGAUCCUGGCUCAAGAUGAACGCUGGCGGCGUGCCUAACACAUGCAAGUCGAACGGAUCCAUAUUGAAACCUAGUGAUGUAUGGAUUAGUGGCGGACGGGUGAGUAACGCGUGGAUAACCUGCCGUAUACAGGGGGAUAACACUUAGAAAUAGGUGCUAAUACCGCAUAAGCGCACGGUUCCGCAUGGAACAGUGUGAAAAACUCCGGUGGUAUACGAUGGAUCCGCGUCUGAUUAGCCAGUUGGCGGGGUAACGGCCCACCAAAGCGACGAUCAGUAGCCGGCCUGAGAGGGUGAACGGCCACAUUGGGACUGAGACACGGCCCAAACUCCUACGGGAGGCAGCAGUGGGGAAUAUUGCACAAUGGGGGAAACCCUGAUGCAGCGACGCCGCGUGAGUGAAGAAGUAUCUCGGUACGUAAAGCUCUAUCAGCAGGGAAGAAAAUGACGGUACCUGACUAAGAAGCCCCGGCUAACUACGUGCCAGCAGCCGCGGUAAUACGUAAGGGGCAAGCGUUAUCCGGAUUUACUGGGUGUAAAGGGAGCGUANACGGCAGCGCAAGUCUGGAGUGAAAUGCCGGGGCCCAACCCCGGAACUG
rnacentral:rRNA from 1 species